UACGGAGGGUGCAAGCGUUGUCCGGAUUUAUUGGGUUUAAAGGGUGCGUAGGCGGCCCUGUAAGUCAGUGGUGAAACCCUUGGGCUUAACCCAAGGAGUGCCAUUGAUACUGCAGGGCUUGGGUCAUCUUUGGGCGGGCGGAAUGGAUGGUGUAGCGGUGAAAUGCAUAGAUAUCAACCAGAACGCCGAUAGCGAAGGCA
rnacentral:rRNA from 1 species